GUGAGUUUGGCCGAGUUGGUCUAAGGCGCCAGGUUAGUUUCACUUCCUCUCAAACUCCAAAUCCGAAUUUCCACUAAUCAUAUCACAGACUCAAGAGAAUUACCUCUUUCACUGUUUCAGUGAGUCUUCUGGUCUCGAAAGAGGCGUGGGUUCGAAUCCCACAGCUCACA
rnacentral:tRNA from 1 species